rnacentral:lncRNA from 1 species
CCAACAGUGUGAAGACUCUUGAAAUACGGUACCUGGCAAUGUUUGUUUCCUUAUCAAUUGUGAACUUGUUGAAUCUGGAGGGAGGGGAGGCAGUCAUGGGUUGUAACAGGCAGGGUUAAGGGGAGGGGGGUGGUAAGGUGGUGUGCACUUUCUUGGGAUCCCAGAGAAGGGGAGAAUCGAGGCUGUGUGUCUCCCGUCUUUCCCCAUCUGAGUUUAUUACCAGUAACUCCAGACCCAGUAUGUAACUUGAACCCAGCACAGCUGGCCAGCAUCUCCAUUCUCCUGAGGGAAAUGCUGAGUUCAUUCUGGGGUUCCUGGGACGCGCCCUUUCUCGUUGUCCUUGUAACACACUGGCCUCAAGGUUGAAUCCCUGCAUUUAGAAAAUGUGUUCUUUUCUCUUUGCAGCAUUGGACUAGUCACAGCAGCCAGUCACCAUUCAUUUCAGCAAAGGCAUGAUCUGAAAAACAGUACUUCUAGCUGGAUACUUGUUACUUUCCUAGCUCUCUGUUCAGUUCCGCUUAGAUCGGAAGACAAGUAGACCCAAGUGGGCGGUCCCUGUGCUCUGUGGAGAUUGUUAAAUGCAAACUGACAGUUCUGACGGUCCUUCUCGUUAGCAUAAAGGUGCAUGUUGUAUACGUCAGGGUGUGAGAAGGGAGCAGUUGGUGACAUCCUUAAUUUAGGACAAGAGUUUGAGUUUGCCCACCCUCAUGUACGUGUGCAAAAGCUGGUGUGAUCGUGGGGAAUCACGGUCACAGCCUAGGUAGAUUCACCAGCCAUCCUCAGUUUCUCUUUCUCAAUUACCAGAUGCACCCCCAGCUUUACCUCUUCCCUUUAUAGACUAAGGUGAAGGUGUUUGCAGGUCUCGUAAUGUCGUUCUUGUUUGAAUCUUAGAAUUUGCAGCCCAGUGGCCAGGUUAAUGGUCUGUCGAAUGUAUUCUUUUCCUUCCUGUGAAGCCACUGCUCAUCCUCAAGAGGAAGAGUCAGUCAGCGAGACUGUCAGCCUGCAGACUUGACCUGCCCACCUCCUGACUGCCAGGCCAUUGAUCCCUGGCUUCACCCCAGGCUUUGCAACUUCCAGUGGUAGCGUUCUGCCAUGCCACAUGUGACUGAAGACUUAACACUUGUUUGUAAGCUAGGUUGGUGGUUAAUUGGAUUCUGUUUCUUCUUUCUUUCUCUCUUUCCUUCCCCCUUUUCCUUUUUGCAGCACAUCACGUAUGCUAUCAAACACAACUAACUUUAAUUUUAAAAAUGGAUCUGAGAUUGCACCGUUACAAGUUCUGUUCAAUGGUUUUUCUUUUCUUUUUUUUUUUUUUUCUUCCUUCAGCACUCUUUGCAGGAUGACUUGCAACUUUUAGGCAGUUGCCUCAAUUUCUCAUCUCACCAACACACGUACAAUAGAGCUUUCAUUUGUCAGAAGGCAGGAGCCACUGAGUUAAGUCACUCAGCGUCCUGCUGAAUGCCUUUUUGAUGACAGGCUGGUAUGCUCACCGGCUCUGUCCUUAGAGAAGCUUGACCUGAUUCUAUCCAGGCCUCCUCUAGUAGCAUGAUCGAAGAUAGAGAGGGCAUGGCUGAGGUGUGAGCAUUCCCGCAUCGGUUUUUCUCACAACCUGUCACAUCCUAGAGCCAGCAGACACUAAGCUGCUGAGAGACAGAGCUAGGCUGUAGACGUGGGAGGGUUGGGACCUCGUGUUCCACACCAGAGUGAUCAUAACCACGUGAUGAGGCAGCAAGCAUGUUUUGCAACAUUUGACAACUUCACAGCCCUGGAUAUAUGUAUAUAUGUAUAGUGUGCAUGGACUGUUUCCAGUACACCUUUCAGCCACGCAGAUCCACAGUGGAGUUCAAGUAUGUAACAAGCGGAUGUCCAGUACAGGUCUUGUAGACGCUGU